CCACACUCUCCCUUGGUCAAAUGUUGACAGUUCAGUGGCUCCAGGAAAGAUCAUAAGAAUACUUAGGCUCUUUGGACAACAGUUUCUGUCUGUAGAUACUAUUUAAAACAUAAUUAGGUGUGGCAAUCAAAUGGCAGUAGGAGAGUCAGAAACAGAGAGGUGUGUGUUGGCAGGUCAGUGAGAGCAGGAGAAGUUCAGUCCCAGUGUCCUUGUGCCAGACUAACAUUCUGUGUGCUAGUCCUGAAAGCACCUUUGAGAAACAGUGAUUGUCUGUGUGCUGACAUAGCUGUUCUUUCUACUUGCCCACUCAAGAAGUUCUACAAGCCUUCAAGGGACGUGGAGAGCAUGAAAGUGUGUAAGAUCUUAUGAGAAGACCUGCAGGAAUGAAACAGAGGGGGUUAAAGUUUGAUGAUGUGACUUCUAUAUAAUGCACUUUCUUUGGUGGGAGGAAGAGGAUUUUCCAAAAGAGAAUAAAAAACAUGAAGUAUUUCAAACUGCCCCUCAAAACCACCAUGCUCAGAGCCUGAAAGGAUCACUUACCUCUGAGAGCACUCCAGAUAACUGUCAAGAAGCCAGAGCAGAGAACAGAAGAGGAAAAGAAGUUUGCAAAAAGCUGCUUUCAGGAGAUAGAAAGCUCUCAAACUUACAGCUGAAGACUGCAAUUUCUUAUGGCUGAAAUGGCUCACUUUAGAUGUGUACUAGUUAUCUUCUGAAUGUAAACUGGUCUGAUAACCCCAUGUUUUUGGCUGUUGACAAAGCUGUUAUCGCAUCUGAGGUGUUCUGUACAUCGGAGAUGGAGGAAGUGGGAACCUUCUUGACCUUAUUUCUACUGAGAACAGAUGAUCUGUGGAAAGAGGGCUUUACCAGUUUAAAAUCAAUAUCCUCACAAUAAUUUGGUGCAUGUACAUGUUUUUCAUGUCAGGUGCUUGUGCGUGUCUAACUUUGUACAUGAUAGAAGCCAUAAAAUUACCUCUCACUGGCCUAGCCAUAUUUUUUAUUGUCUCCUACCACUGUACUCAUUGUUUUUUGGGAAUGGGACAAUCAUUUUAACAUGUUCUCGUUUUCUACUUUUCUGCCUUUCUCCUGUUGCCUCUUUCUCAUACCCAGAGCAGCACAGAAACAGAUUUCUUACUUUAAAAAGACUUCUCCAUCCUCAGUUUCCCAUGCUUUGGGGUUUUCUCUUUGCUUUAUUGUGCUGGACUUUGAUUUCUUACAUGACUGAAAUGUAAGAUAUUUUGCUUAAGGAGUGGGAAAUAUUGGGAUGGGCUCCACUGCCCCCUUCACUCCAGAAGUCCUCAGAGGAAUUACCUACCACAGGUUCUGCUCCUGCACCUGUAUCUCCACACAGGCCAGCACAAGCACAGAACUGUGCUGAUGCUCUUUGUGUACCAGCAUGUUAUCAGUACAAAGUUAUUGCUGUGAAUCCAGAUCAGUCUGUGGGUCUGCCCCACUGUGUCCCCACAAAUGACUCUUUGGGCACAGCUUGAAAGAGAGCACAGGAAACAGCCAGAAAGUUCUUAAUGUUCAACUUUUAGUUUGUGAUUCUGUAUUGAGUUCAGGUGCCCUGGUGUGGUUGGCCCUGUGCAGGACACAGCUGGUUCCAAGCAGCUCAGCAACAGCCCCACCAUGGGACACAGCUGAGCACAUCGGUGAAGCUGGGGCACCUCUGUGGCAGUGUCUGUAAGAAAGGGCAAAAUGCUGCAUGGCAGAGAGGAGUGAGGAAGAAGGUGAAAGAGUUCUCUGAGCACCCAAGUCAGAAAAGAAGAAGAGGGAGGAAUUGCUUCUGGUGCUGGAAAUUCGGACCACAGAGGAUCACAUGCCAGAGCAGGUGCAGAUUUUUCUGAAGGAACUGCAGUCUGUGGAGAGGAGCCAUGCCAGAACAGGCUUCUGCUGAAGGACUGCAGCCUGUGGAGAGAGCCCAUGAUGGAGUGACAGAAAGAAGCUGUUACAGACUGACUGCAACACCCAUGUUCCACUUUGCCCUGUGCUGCCUUGGACAAGGGGAGACAGAGAAGUUGGGGCUUCAAAGUGUAAAAGAGGGCAACAGAAUGGAAUGUGCUGUUUUAAUUUGCUUUUGUUUCUUAGUGAUUUAAUCUAUUUUAAUUGGCAAAAAAUUAAAUUGGCUUUCCUCAUAUUGAUUCAAAUAUUGAAAUUUACAUCUGGAUGCCAGUCAUGGUGGAAAAUCCUGAUUUCUGUUUGAUCACUGCAAGUCAUUAUUGCCUUUAAUUUUUAAGUAAUCAAAUUUUAAUUUUUAAGGAUUCAUUCUGUGUGAAGAAAGUAGUGUACCUUGUCUGAAUCAGUAAUUACAUUUCUGGAUGUAUUCUGGUUAGGCCUUUCAAGUUCAGUGUACUCACCUCUUCACUAGAGUAGAUCUCGGCGAUGAAAUAACUCAGGAACAUGUCUAAUCUGUUACAUUUCAGCUGGAAAAGAAUACCAGCCAUAUUUUUACAGGUUUGAGCAUGGGAGAGUCAUUCUGAGGAGAUGAUGCUGCAGCAUUAUUUACUUUGGUAAAGCUGUUUUUACAGGUGUUAAGGAUGUGGCAUCUUCCCAGUGUUGUCUAGCAGUGCUUCAGAAUGGGGCAAAGUUUGUGGUGAGUGGCAUCUUCAGUGAAAGUGCUGUUAACUUUGGGCAAAGAAAUAAGCAGAGUUUGUGAAUGGGAUUUAUACUCUUGUGCUUUUCAGAGAUUAUUUAGGAAAAUAAUAAAAGUAAUAAGAAUCAUAAGUAAUAGUAAAGU
rnacentral:lncRNA from 1 species